ensembl:snoRNA
UUUCCAUGAUGAGAACUUUGUCAGUUCUGCUACUGAGUGCAAGUGGUGACUUCAAAGACUCUGAGGAAG